rnacentral:rRNA from 1 species
CAACGCCGCGUGAGUGAAGAAGGUUUUCGGAUCGUAAAGCUCUGUUGUAAGAGAAGAACAAGUGGGAUAGUGGAAAGUUCACACUGUGACGGUAUCUUACCAGAAAGGGACGGCUAACUACGUGCCAGCAGCCGCGGUAAUACGUAGGUCCCGAGCGUUGUCCGGAUUUAUUGGGCGUAAAGCGAGCGCAGGCGGUUUGAUAAGUCUGAAGUUAAAGGCUGUGGCUCAACCAUAGUUCGCUUUGGAAACUGUCAAACUUGAGUGCAGAAGGGGAGAGUGGAAUUCCAUGUGUAGCGGUGAAAUGCGUAGAUAUAUGGAGGAACACCGGUGGCGAAAGCGGCUCUCUGGUCUGUAACUGACGCUGAGGCUCGAAAGCGUGGGGAGCGAACAGGAUUAGAUACCCUGGUAGUCCACGCCGUAAACGAUGAGUGCUAGGUGUUGGAUCCUUUCCGGGAUUCAGUGCCGCAGCUAACGCAUUAAGCACUCCGCCUGGGGAGUACGACCGCAAGGUUGAAACUCAAAGGAAUUGACGGGGGCCCGCACAAGCGGUGGAGCAUGUGGUUUAAUUCGAGGCAACGCGAAGAACCUUACCAGGUCUUGACAUCCCGAUGCUAUUUCUAGAGAUAGAAAGUUACUUCGGUACAUCGGUGACAGGUGGUGCAUGGUUGUCGUCAGCUCGUGUCGUGAGAUGUUGGGUUAAGUCCCGCAACGAGCGCAACCCCUAUUGUUAGUUGCCAUCAUUCAGUUGGGCACUCUAGCGAGACUGCCGGUAAUAAACCGGAGGAAGGUGGGGAUGACGUCAAAUCAUCAUGSCCCUUAUGACCUGGGCUACACACGUGCUACAAUGGUUGGUACAACGAGUUGCGAGUCGGUGACGGCGAGCUAAUCUCUUAAAGCCAAUCUCAGUUCGGAUUGUAGGCUGCAACUCGCCUACAUGAAGUCGGAAUCGCUAUUAAUCGCGGAUCAGCACGCCGCGGUGAAUACGUUCCCGG